rnacentral:rRNA from 1 species
CUACGGGUAACAGCAGUGGGGAAUAUUGGACAAUGGGCGAAAGCCUGAUCCAGCCAUGCCGCGUGUGUGAAGAAGGCCUUCGGGUUGUAAAGCACUUUCAGUGGGGAAGAAAGCCUUGGGGCUAAUACCCUCGAGGAAGGACAUCACCCACAGAAGAAGCACCGGCUAACUCCGUGCCAGCAGCCGCGGUAAUACGGAGGGUGCGAGCGUUAAUCGGAAUUACUGGGCGUAAAGCGCGCGUAGGCGGUCUGAUAAGCCGGUUGUGAAAGCCCCGGGCUCAACCUGGGAACGGCAUCCGGAACGGUCAGGCUAGAGUGCAGGAGAGGAAGGUAGAAUUCCCGGUGUAGCGGUGAAAUGCGUAGAGAUCGGGAGGAAUACCAGUGGCGAAGGCGGCCUUCUGGACUGACACUGACGCUGAGGUGCGAAAGCGUGGGUAGCAAACAGGAUUAGAUACCCCAGUAGUC